rnacentral:rRNA from 1 species
AUUGAACGCUGGCUGCAGGCCUAACACAUUCAAGUCGAACGAGUGCCGGACGGGUGUGUAAUGUCUGGGAAACUGCAUGAUGGAUGGGGAUCACUACUGGAAACGGUAGCUAAUCCCGCAUACCAUCAGAUGUGCCCAGAUGGGAUUAGCUAGUUGGUGGGGUAACGGCUCACCAAGGAGACUCUCCCUAGCUGGUCUGAGAGGAUGACCGGCCACACUGGAACUUAGACACGGUCCAGAAUCCACAGGGAGGCAGCAGUGGGGAAUAUUGCACAAUGGGCGCAAGACUGAUGCAGCCCUGCCGAGUGUAUGAAGAAGGCCUUCGGGUUGUAAAGUACUUUCAGCGGGGAGGCGUUACCCGCAGAAGAAGCACCGGCUAACUCCGUGCCAGCCGCCGCGGUAAUUC